rnacentral:rRNA from 1 species
GACGAACGCUGGCGGCGUGCCUAAUACAUGCAAGUAGAACGCUGAAGAGAGGAGCUUGCUCUUCUUGGAUGAGUUGCGAACGGGUGAGUAACGCGUAGGUAACCUGCCUUGUAGCGGGGGAUAACUAUUGGAAACGAUAGCUAAUACCGCAUAACAAUGGAUGACACAUGUCAUUUAUUUGAAAGGGGCAAUUGCUCCACUACAAGAUGGACCUGCGUUGUAUUAGCUAGUAGGUGAGGUAAUGGCUCACCUAGGCGACGAUACAUAGCCGACCUGAGAGGGUGAUCGGCCACACUGGGACUGGGACACGGCCCAGACUCCUACGGGAGGCAGCAGUAGGGAAUCUUCGGCAAAGGGGGCAACCCUGACCGAGCAACGCCGCGUGAGUGAAGAAGGUUUUCGGACCGUAAAGCUCUGUUGUAAGUCAAGAAAGGGUGUGAGAGUGGAAAGUUCACACUGUGACGGUAGCUUACCAGAAAGGGACGGCUAACUACGUG